AAGGAAACUUUCUAUACUUGAAGUAAGUAGAGGUACAGGGAAUUCCCGGUGGAGCGGUGAAAUGCGUAGAUAUCGGGAGGAACACCAAUAUGGCGAAGGCACUGUACUGGGCUUUACCUGACGCUCAGAGACGAAAGCUAAAGGAGUGAUUAGGAUUAGAUACCCUAGUAAUUUUAGCCGUAAACGAUGAAAACUCACUGCCGAGCGAAAUACAACGAGCGGUGGUCAAGCUAACGCGUGAAGUUUUCCGCCUGGGGAUUACGCUUGCAAAAGUGAAACUCAAAGGAGUUGACGGGGACCCGCACAAGCGGUGGAGUAUGUGGUUUAAUUCGAUGCAACACGAAGAACCUUACCAGGGUUUGAAAUCAUUUCAAAACUCCUUGAAAGAGGAGCCUCCUUCGGGAUGAAAUGACAGGUGGUGCAUGGCUGUCGUCAGCUCGUGUUGUGAAAUGUCGAGUUAAGUCUCGUAACGAGCGCAACCCAUGUCUCUUGUUGCUCAUUGAGUGCUUAAGAGAGACUGCCGACCAACAUCGGAGGAAGGUGUGGAUGAUGUCAAGUCAGCAUGCCCCUUACAUCCUGGGCUACACACGUACUACAAUGGUAGGGACAAUGAGCUGCGAUCCUGCGAAGGCUAGCCAAUCUCAAAAACCCUAUCUCAGUUCGGAUUGUACUCUGCAACUCGAGUACAUGAAGGUGGAAUCGCUAGUAAUCGCUGGUCAGCUAUACAGCGGUGAAUACGUUCCCGGGUCUUGUACACACCGCCCGUCACACCAUGGGAGUUGGUUCUACCCGACGACGCUGCGCUAACCCUUCGGGGAGGCAGGCGGCCACGGUAGGAUCAGCGACUGGGGUGAAGUCGUAACAAGGUAGCCCUAGGGGAACCUGCGGCUGGAUCACCUCCUU
rnacentral:rRNA from 1 species